rnacentral:tRNA from 1 species
GAAGGCGUAGCUCAGUGUUGGAGUGUGUGCUUAGCGUGCACAAGGUCCUGAGUUCAAUCCCCAGUCCCUCCA